rnacentral:rRNA from 1 species
GACGAAGGUGGCAAGCGUUGUUCGGAAUCACUGGGCUUAAAGAGCACGUAGGCGGCUCAUCAAGCGUCCUGUGAAAUCCCUCGGCUCAACCGAGGAACUGCUGGGCGAACUGAUCGGGCUUGAGGCAGGUAGGGGCGCAUGGAACUCUUGGUGGAGCGGUGGAAUGCGUAGAUAUCAAGAGGAACGCCGGUGGCGAAAGCGGUGCGCUGGGCCUGACCUGACGCUGAGGUGCGAAAGCCAGGGGAGCAAACGGGAUUAGAUACCCGAGUA